GACAGAGGUCCCGAGCGUUAGGCGGAAUCACUGGGCUUAAAGCGUGUGUAGGCGGAUCGUUAAGUGCCUUGUGAAAUCCCACGGCUUAACCGUGGAACUGCUUGGCAUACUGGCGGUCUUGAGCAACCUAGGGGCAAGCGGAACAAAUGGUGGAGCGGUGAAAUGCGUAGAUAUCGAGAGGAACACCUGCGGCGAAGGCGGGUUGCUGGGCUGACACUGACGCUGAUGCGCGAAAGCCAGGGGAGCGAACAGG
rnacentral:rRNA from 1 species